AGGGUGUAAACGCUGCAGACUUGGUGUUGGGGACCCUACGGGGGUGGUUCAGUGCCGGAGAGAAGUUGUUAAGUCUGCUACUUGGAGAGUACGUCCGCAAGGAUGAAACUUAAAGGAAUUGGCGGGGGAGGCACCGCAACGGGAGGAGCGUGCGGUUUAAUUGGAUUCAACACCGGAAAACUCACCAGCGGCGACUGUUACAUGAAAGUCAGGCCGAUGACCUUACUAGAUUUUCUAGAGAGGAGGUGCAUGGCGUCAGUGACU
rnacentral:rRNA from 1 species